GACGAACGCUGGCGGCGUGCCUAAUACAUGCAAGUCGAGCGCUGAAGGUUGGUACUUGUACCAAUUGGGUGAGCAGCGAACGGGUGAGUAACGCGUGGGGAAUCUGCCUUUGAGCGGGGGACAACAUCGGGAAACGAAUGCUAAUACCGCAUAAAAACUUUAAACACAAGUUUUAAGUGUGAAAGAUGCAAUUGCAUCACUCAAAGAUGAUCCCGCGUUUUAUUAGCUAGUUGGGAAGGUAAAGGCCCACCAAGGGGAAGAUACGUAGCCGACCGGAGAGGUGGACCGCCAAAAUGGGAACGGGGCACCGCCCCAACCGCUUCAGGGGGGAACAGUAGGGGAACUUCGGCAAAGGGCGGAAGUCUGGCCGGACAAAGCCGCGGGGGUGGAGGAAGUUUUCGGGUCGUAAAACUCUGUUGGUAGGGAAAGAAGUUGGGGAGAGUGAAAAGCUCAUCAAGUGACGGUAACUACCCAGAAAGCGACGGCUAACUACGUG
rnacentral:rRNA from 1 species